rnacentral:rRNA from 1 species
CCUACGGGAGGCAGCAGUGGGGGAUAUUGCACAAUGGGGGAAACCCUGAUGCAGCGACGCCGCGUGGGUGAAGAAGUAUUUCGGUAUGUAAAGCCCUAUCAGCAGGGAAGAAAGAAGACGGUACCUGACUAAGAAGCCCCGGCUAACUACGUGCCAGCAGCCGCGGUAAUACGUAGGGGGCGAGCGUUAUCCGGAUUCACUGGGUGUAAAGGGAGCGUAGACGGCCGGGCAAGCCAGGAGUGAAAUCCCGGGGCCCAACCCCGGUACUGCUCUUGGAACUGUGCGGCUGGAGUGCGGGAGGGGCAGGCGGAAUUCCUGGUGUAGCGGUGAAAUGCGUAGAUAUCAGGAGGAACACCGGCGGCGAAGGCGGCCUGCUGGACCGCGACUGACGCUGAGGCUCGAAAGCGUGGGGAGCGAACAGGAUUAGAUACCCUGGUAGUC